rnacentral:lncRNA from 12 species
UUUGAGUCCAUACCUAAAUCUGGUAGAAUUUACAAGCUGAAGACCUUAUUGAAGCACGAUGGUCUGCCUUGGUGAGAAGAGUGAGUGACUGUCACCUGGGGACUGCAUGGUGUAAGCCAUUUCUUAUGUCUUCUGUAGCUUUGUACCAAAAACAAACAGCUGGAUCCCUCUGUGGUUCUCCUCCAG